GAAAAAGAUAAAAUUGUUCUUUCUCAUAUUAAUCACCCACAAGUCUGAAACUGCUUCUUCACUCUCAAGGCAAAGGAUCAAAACUAAGAGACCAAAAGAUAUUGUGUACUAUUUUAACAGCGAUCGAAAACGACCCUAAGCUUGAGAAGAAUCUCGGAGGUGUUUCAUGAUCACUUGGGUACUAACUUCUCAUCAUCAUCAUCAUUAAGAUCAUCAGAUCGUCUCAGCAUGUGGGCACUAUUCCGCGCUUUAGCAUGAAGUGUGAAUAUCCAAUAUAUGCAAAGAUCACAGCGUUAUGUGUGUUCCAUGUUGGAAGUUUUCAAGCUUUUGAGUAUCCGGCUCCAUUGAUGACUAGUGUUGUUUCAUGGACUUCAUGCUAAUUCAUUGUUCACAGGAGUAACACGAGCCAUCGAUGGAGCUAGACACACUUCAAAAGCUUCAAAUGGCUUGCAACAAUGAACACAAAUAAUCAUGUGGUCUUUAAUUUGCAUCUAUUAUUUAUACAUUAUGCUACAAGAACGGCAUAAUGACCAUAAGCUGCGACCAUCUGAGGAUGAUAAUGAUGAUGAAUUAGUACCCAAGAAAUAAGGAAACAACACCUCCGAGGCUCUCUUCUCAGAAGAAUAAUUUUUAUAUUUGCCAGUUAUGUUUUUCCUUCAGUCAAAAUACAAAAGCUCAGUUUGAAAAUAAUAAUAAUAACAAAAUAUCAGUUUG